ACGACCUUACUUGAACAGGAUCUGUUCUAUAGGUUCGUACCUCUGUAUCCUUGAGUUCUAAGGAGACAGGAAUCAAAGUCUGGUGGAUGAAAUCGGACCGUGUAAGAUCAGAGCGUGAUUAAUUGCCUUAGGAUCUCAGGAUUCGAGUUUCCACGGGCUGUAGAGGAUCGUUCUCAGCCUUGGCUGGGAUGGUCGCACGGUUGUCUGACAGAUU
rnacentral:snoRNA from 1 species